AAAAACAGAAGUCUUUAUCUUUCUAGUUUAAAUUUCUAUAUUUUGAAUGACUGAAAACUACUUGUGGCUUUAAAUGUUCUGUUUGUCCAGGCUCUAUUAACUAAGUUUCAAAAAGUCUCAACCUGGAUACCGCAUUACAUGCUAAUCACAUGCUAAUCCAAAGUCUUUAACAUUACUUGCAAGGCAUAACCUAUUUGGGCUUAUCCCACCAACACAUAUGAAUGCAUCUCCCAUCAUCUCAAACACACAUAUCUCUCCUCAGAUCCAGGCACAGUCCUCCCAGGAGAAGCUACACUUGCACCUUUACUCAUGCCACCCUCCUAUCUGGAAUCCUCCUCAUCACUCGAAAUUUCCCCCAUUUGAUGAAGUCUUUUAAUUUAUUCCUUUGGAUUCCUACAAGGCACUUCUCAUUCAUCCAACC
rnacentral:lncRNA from 1 species